UGUGUCUCUACACAUCCAUGGUGAACAUCCUGUAAAUAAUGGCACAUUGUGGCUUCCUUUUCUUUCUUCUUCAUGAGUUCAUCAUGUUGGUGAAGGUGAGAUUUGGAGAAAUGCAGAAGUAUGUCAAAGUGGCUGAGACUGAAGAUGGUUAUGACUUCAACACAUUUCUUCAGAAAGAUGAAUCAGGGACAGAAGUCGAUGCAGAUGUUUGAGGAUUUUUUGCAAGCAGGGAGCCUUACUGUUCGGGUGACAACUGAAAGGUCAACAGGUCAGGUACAGCCUUGUUGGGGAAAGACUAGAUUAGAAAUAAGUAUUUGGAACUAAUUCUUUUUUUUCCACUUUGUGUAUAAAUGUUUUCAACUGUUUCCAGUUGUGCUUCAACAUGAUUUAUCAUCUGCUUCGUUGGAGUCAACCAUGUCAGGCAACUCAUCUGUGGCCAUUUCUGGAGACUCCUUGCUAGCGUCCUCUGAUUCAUCUGAUGCCGCAGUGAUUGUUCACACAAACGGAGGGACGAGAACACAUGCUGAACGGGAAGUGGCAAAAGAGGUGUGCAGCUUUUCUAACAAAUGAUGUAAAACAUCAUGCACAAAGAUAUUUAGCUGUUAAACCGUGGCUGGUUUGUUGAAUUUGAUCAAGAUUGAUGAAAAUUCAGACUUUGUGACGCUUCAUCUUGUAGAUGUUGAGAAAUGUUCUCCAGGCUAAACCAGGUGGACAGGUUAUUUUGGAUGAAUAUGAUAAAAUGAGAACAAGAAGACGUUUGGUCAACCUUCUUGUGGCCAACAUGGUUGAAAUGAAUGGGAUGAUCCCACCAGUCUCCAUGACAACUAAAUAUGCUUUGG